rnacentral:rRNA from 1 species
GACGAACGCUGGCGGCGUGCUUAACACAUGCAAGUCGAACGAGUGGCGAACGGGUGAGUAAUACGUGGGUAACCUGCCCUCUUUUUGGGAUAAGCCUUGGAAACGGGGUCUAAUACCGAAUAAAGGGGGAUGGGCUCGCGGCCUAUCAGCUUGUUGGUGGGGAGAUGGCCUACCAAGGCGGUGACGGGUAGCCGGCCUGAGAGGGUGACGGGCCACAUGGGGAGUGAGAGACGGCCCAGACGCCUACGGGAGGCAGCAGUUGGGGAUAUGGCGCAAUGGGCGAGAGCCUGAUGCAGCGACGCCGCGUGGGGGAUGGAGGCUUUAGGGUUGUAAACCUCUGUGGCUAGGGAAGGGGUAGGUGGAGAAGAAGCGCCGGCUAACUACGUGCCAGCAGCCGCGGUAAUAC